AAUGAACGCUGGCGGCAUGCCUAACACAUGCAAGUCGAACGAAGGCUUCGGCCUUAGUGGCGCACGGGUGCGUAACGCGUGGGAAUCUGCCCUCAGGUUCGGAAUAACAGCGAGAAAUUGCUGCUAAUACCGGAUGAUAUCGCGAGAUCAAAGAUUUAUCGCCUGAGGAUGAGCCCGCGUAGGAUUAGCUAGUUGGUGUGGUAAAGGCGCACCAAGGCGACGAUCCUUAGCUGGUCUGAGAGGAUGAUCAGCCACACUGGGACUGAGACACGGCCCAGACUCCUACGGGAGGCAGCAGUGGGGAAUAUUGGACAAUGGGCGAAAGCCUGAUCCAGCAAUGCCGCGUGAGUGAUGAAGGCCUUAGGGUUGUAAAGCUCUUUUACCCGGGAUGAUAAUGACAGUACCGGGAGAAUAAGCUCCGGCUAACUCCGUGCCAGCCGCCGCCGUAA
rnacentral:rRNA from 1 species